GCGUAGCUUUGGCUUCGCAUAUAUUAAAAUUGGAACGAUACAGAGAAGAUUAGCAUGGCCCCUGGCGCAAGGAUGACACGCAAAUUCGUGAAGCGUUCUACCUUUUU